CACUUCUAAGGAAGGCAGCAGGCGCGCAAAUUACCCAAUCCUGACUCAGGGAGGUAGUGACAAGAAAUAACAAUAAACCGGCUUAUGCCGGUUUAAUUGGAAUGAGUACAAUUUAAACAUCUUAACGAGGAACAAUUGGAGGGCAAGUCUGGUGCCAGCAGCCGCGGUAAUUCCAGCUCCAAUAGCGUAUACUAAAGUUGUUGCAGUUAAAAAGCUCGUAGUUGGAUUUCUGUGGGGACGGAGCGGCCGGCCGCACAUCGCGGUUCGAGCUAGCGCUUUCCCUACAUCCUGCCGCGAACCGUGCUACCAUUAGUUUGGUGGCGCCGGGGAUCGGCUCGAUUACUUUGAGAAAAAUAGAGUGUUCAAAGCAGGCCACAUGCCUUGAAUAAGUUAGCAUGGAAUAAUAACUAAGGACUUCGGUUCUAUUUUGUUGGUGUUCGGGACUGAAGUAAUGAUUGAUAGGGACAGUUGGGGCGGUCUGUAUUCCAAAGCGAGAGGUGAAAUUCUUAGACCUUCGGAAGACAAACAGCUGCGAAAGCGUUCCGCAAGGAUGUUCCCUUUGAUCAAGAACGAAAGUUGGGGGAUCGAAGACGAUCAGAUACCGUCGUAGUCUCAACUAUAAACUAUACCAGCUAGGGAUCGGCCAACGUUAUUUUAUACCGACUUGGUCGGCACCUUAUGAGAAAUCAAAGCAUCUGGGUUCCGGGGGGAGUAUGGUCGCAAGGCUGAAACUUAAAGGAAUUGACGGAAGGGCACCACCAGCCGUGGAGCCUGUGGCUUAAUUUGACUCAACACGGGAAAACUUACCAGGUCCAGACAUAGUAAGGAUUGACAGAUUGAUAGCUCUUUCUUGAUUCUGUGGGUGGUGGUGCAUGGCCGUUCUUAGUUGGUGGAGUGAUUUGUCUGGUUAAUUCCGUUAACGAACGAGACCCCAGCCUGCUAAAUAGCGCGCGUGAGCUUUGCUCGCGGCGAGCUUCUUAGAGGGACUAUGAUGCGCGAUAGCACAUGGAAGUUUGGGGCAAUAACAGGUCUGUGAUGCCCUUAGAUGUUCUGGGCCGCACACGGGCUACACUGGCGCCUGCAACGAGCAUAUCAGCUGGCCCGAGAGGGUCUUGGCUAAUCUUUUGAACCGGCGCCGUGCUUGGGAUUGACCUUUGCAAUUGUUGGUCAUGCAACGAGGAAUGCCUUGA
rnacentral:rRNA from 1 species